AUUGAACGCUGGCGGCAGGCCUAACACAUGCAAGUCGAGCGGAGCGGCGGACGGGUGAGUAAUGCCUAGGAAUCUGCCUGGUCGUGGGGGAUAACGUCAGGAAACGGGCGCUAAUACCGCAUACUAUCAGAUGAGCCUAGGUCGGAUUAGCUAGGUGGUGGGGUAAAGGCCUACCAAGGCGACGAUCCGUAACGGGUCUGAGAGGAUGAUCAGUCACACGGGAACUGAGACAAGGGCCAGACGCCGACGGGAGGCAGCAGUGGGGAAUAUUGGACAAUGGGCGAAAGCCGGAUCCAGCCAGGCCGCGUGUGUGAAGAAGGUCUUCGGGUUGUAAAGCACUUUAAGUUGGGAGGCGUUACCAACAGAAUAAGCACCGGCUAACUUCGUGCCAGCAGCCGCGGUAAUAC
rnacentral:rRNA from 1 species